GGGAAGUUUUUGGACAAUGGGCGCAAGCCUGAUCCAGCCAUUCCGCGUGCAGGAUGAAGGCCCUCGGGUUGUAAACUGCUUUUGUACGGAACGAAAAGGCUCUGGUUAAUACCUGGGGCUCAUGACGGUACCGUAAGAAUAAGCACCGGCUAACUACGUGCCAGCAGCCGCGGUAAUACGUAGGGUGCAAGCGUUAAUCGGAAUUACUGGGCGUAAAGCGUGCGCAGGCGGUUUUGUAAGACAGGUGUGAAAUCCCGGCUAG
rnacentral:rRNA from 1 species